rnacentral:rRNA from 1 species
AGUGGGGAAUUUUGGACAAUGGGCGCAAGCCUGAUCCAGCAAUGCCGCGUGCAGGAAGAAGGCCUUCGGGUUGUAAACUGCUUUUGUACGGAACGAAACGGUCUGGGUUAAUACCCUGGGCUAAUGACGGUACCGUAAGAAUAAGCACCGGCUAACUACGUGCCAGCAGCCGCGGUAAUACGUAGGGUGCAAGCGUUAAUCGGAAUUACUGGGCGUAAAGCGUGCGCAGGCGGUUUUGUAAGACAGACGUGAAAUCCCCGGGCUCAACCUGGGAAUGGCGUUUGUGACUGCAAAGCUGGAGUGCGGCAGAGGGGGAUGGAAUUCCGCGUGUAGCAGUGAAAUGCGUAGAUAUGCGGAGGAACACCGAUGGCGAAGGCAAUCCCCUGGGCCUGCACUGACGCUCAUGCACGAAAGCGUGGGGAGCAAACAGGAUUAGAUACCCUGGUAGUCCACGCCCUAAACGAUGUCAACUGGUUGUUGGGUCUCUUCUGACUCAGUAACGAAGCUAACGCGUGAAGUUGACCGCCUGGGGAGUACGGCCGCAAGGUUG